UACGAAGGGGGCUAGCGUUGCUCGGAAUCACUGGGCGUAAAGCGCACGUAGGCGGACUCUUAAGUCGGUGGUGAAAUCCUGGAGCUCAACUCCAGAACUGCCUUCGAUACUGAGAGUCUUGAGUCCGGGAGAGGUGAGUGGAACUGCGAGUGUAGAGGUGAAAUUCGUAGAUAUUCGCAAGAACACCAGUGGCGAAGGCGGCCCUCUGGUCCAGUACUGACACUCAAGUGCGAAAGCGUG
rnacentral:rRNA from 1 species